rnacentral:rRNA from 1 species
AUGCCCAAUAUGAAAUUUCUGAAAAUCGAUGGAGCACAUGCAGUUACUAAGGUUGGAUCUGAAUUUGUUGGCUACAAGAAGGGUGAACCCAUAUGCAAUGAAUUAGUUGCUUUCCUUAAACUUGAGUGGUUGUUUAUCAGCAAUAUGCCUAAAUGGGAGGAGUGGUCAUUUUUUGAAGAAGAAAUAGAAGUUACUUCUGAUGAAAGGCGAGAGGAUGGAGCUGUUGAGUCACAAAAAGAGAAUGCCCAAUCUGUAAGGUUACGACUGCUGCCUCGUUUGGAGCAGUUGGGACUCGACAAUUGCCCCAAGCUGAGGGCUCUCCCGCAACAACUCGGAGAGCACACCACCAGCUUGAAGAAGCUAUAUUUAGAUGAAACAAACAGCUUGAAGGCUGUGGAGAACCUACCACACCUCACUGAGCUCCUCCAUAUUACAAAAUGUGGAAAACUGGAGAGGAUAUGCAACCUCCCUCAACUGACAGAACUGCGUGUACAUGGUUGUCCAAACUUAAUCCAUGUAGAGGGGUUGGAAAGUUUGCAACGGCUGUGGCUGGGCGAGGAUAUGCAAGUGGUCUCUUCCCGUUGGCUGGCUGUGCUCCAAAAGCAGCACCGGCGACUUCAUGGUGAAGAUUUGGAUGUCUACACGUGGUCCACCAGUUAG